GGAUUUUCCGUUGUAUGGUCUGUUUCUCUUCUUUGUCUUUUCUCUUCCAACUAGUUGACUGCACAAGAAUGCUGGCCAGAUUUAUAUUAGUUCUGUUGACUAUUUUUGUUUUCAACGUCAUUUCUAUAAACGCCCAUGGACGCUUACUGGAGCCGCCAUCGCGCAUGUCAGCGUGGAGAUUUGGCUAUCCUGUCCCCAGGAACUAUGAUGACCACUCAAUGAACUGUGGCGGGUAUGCUACUCAGUGGAACAAAAACGGAGG
rnacentral:sRNA from 1 species